AAGUCGUAACAAGGUUUCCGUAGGUGAACCUGCGGAAGGAUCAUUUACACGGAAAUGAUUUGAGAGAAGUCGGUGGACGUUACAAUUGAGCACUCGAUGAAGCACCCUAGUACCUUUUGAUCUAUCCAAUGUGUCAAGCGAUGGUCAGAGUAACGCAGUCAACGAUCGCUGUAGAUCCUCACGACCGGCGACCGGGGUGGAGGCGAAAGUCCUUACUUCACCCCUAUGUACCCUCCGGGACUUGGCGAAAGCUGACUCCGUCAUAAAUCGAUCAACUGUUAACAAUGAAAUAUCUUCUUUCUC
rnacentral:misc_RNA from 1 species